UUUCUUAAACUUCAGGUACCUGGCAGUAGUUUGGUCAAGAAUACAUUGGGGUGGAAAAUUGUGACUAUAAAAGCGAGGCACAGAAUUCAAACGUUAAACAGUCGUUGGCAAAUCUUUGUACGGUGAACAUCUAUCGCAAGUAGCAGCAGUUCCGAAUUGCAGUGUUGUAAAGUGUUAAUUUGAGAAAUAUACUCUAACCUAAUUGUGAAAUUGAGGUUAUGUGCUAAAAAUAGCUGAAAUUCCCCAGAAAAGUCCGUUGGGACGACCUUUGUCUAUUGUAACCAACACAACCAUGUGAAAGAGUGGUGAUGUGGGAUAAGGAAGUUUUAAUAGACCACAAUGUGUGCGAGUGUGGAAGUGCAGCGCAUUGUAGGUCACUUCUAAAAGGCCAUGCAAAUAGAACAAAGUGGUGAAGAUGCUGAAAUAAAGACACUGGGUCUUUCAGCUAAAAUGUCAACGACUGGUUGUGGAAAACAUGCAAAGAUAUAAUCGUGUUUAUUGGUGAUAACAAAACUUCAUCAUCCAACUCAGGUAGAAACAAUUUCUUGAUGUGAGAAGAUGUUAAACCACUGCUAUUGCAACUGGGUUGCAACACUUAAAACACAAACAAAAGAAAAGCAAGAGUAAAUAAAAUAAGUCAAGCGCUGAGUGAGUUAUAAAAAAAACAACUUUUAAUUUAACAACAAAGCACCCGUUUAGUUACUCCUUAACUAUCAACAACUACAAUACACCACUGCUCCCAAACUUCGUAAGCAAAUUCUACACAUUUUCAAUUUGACAUCGUGGCAGCUGUUUAGAGCUGGAGUUAAUUUUGCUUAUGUACACGUCCUUCACCUUAACACGUUGGCUAACGGAGUUGUGAAAGGGCGCAGUAUCUCGAAUCAUUAAUCAACCAUUCAUCCAUCCAUGCAACUCUUCUACAAUGGAUUUCAUGAGCAAAUUUUUUGGUAUUUAUGAAAUCUACUGUUAUAAAUCUAUGCCUUUUCCCCAAUUUUCAGUACAUAUUAAACUAUUAUGCUGGAUUUCGCUAAAUUUUACUUAAAUACUACGUUGCUGUUCAUUUCUUUACCCUCCCCUUAUCAACUACAUAUUUUUGGAAAUUUGUCGUUUGUUUCUACUUCUACUUCUUGUAUGGUCUUCGUUAAGCAUGGAUAAACUUUUUGGCCAGCAAAUAUCAACAUUCGUAAGCGGUUUUAUCAUAUCUUUAUCAAAUAACUAUAUAAUUUUAGGAAAGAGUCUACACUAAGUCCAUGUUCAAUUAGUAAAACUAGAGAGUUCUUGCAAAAAAGACCGGAAUAUAAACUUUUGGACACAUAUAUCAUUUGUAAUAAACCCUUUAAUGCAACUACAGCAAUUGUUGCUUUGUGAGGACGACCGGACUACGUUUCGAUUGAUAUUGAGGAGCAGCUUGCUUACAACUACAGCCAUUGUUGUUUAAAGCAGCCGGAAGAAACAGGUUUUUUAUAAUUAUAAAACAACAAAAUUUUGAUUUUUAGCAUUAUGACUCAGUUGAUCGGUGCCUGAGCAUAAUUUAAGUGAGAUAUAUAACAACAACAAAACCAUUUAAACCAUACGAAGAAGACCUUUCCAAUGCGACCAUUGAGAUUAUGCGUGACUCUAAAAAGUGUAAGACAACUUGCAAUUGUUUUUAGCACUAAUACGAUUUUUACAGACAACGAAACCUUUACGAAAUUAUGGAGCAAACUUCUCUUGAUGAUUUUCCUUAUAAAAAGCAGGUCCUUAAACCUAUUAUCACUUUAACAUGGCGCUUAACUCAGUUGUUGAUUUGGUCCCUGAGCAGCUGUGUUUGGCUUGAUCUUAAAAAAAGUGUAAGAAAACAAUGAAAUUGUUUUUACAACUAAUCAAAUUUUUACAGACUACGAUUUUGAAACUCUCACGGCCUAUAUAAAAAAAGGUUUCUUUGAAAACUCUUGACAUCUUAUACUAUUGGUUUGGUAAAGCGUUUUGGAUUAUAAAGUUUCUUCAAGGCAGGUUAACUUUUAAAGGCGAAACUAUGUUUGAUUUUUAGCAUUAUGCGACUCAGUUGAACCGUUCCUGGGCAUAAUUGGAACACUUUUUUUUUAAUGGCGGCAUUCUUAACAGGCAAUUGUAACAUUUUUACCAAAAACCCAAAAAUUUAAUUUGACUUUUAGGAUUAUGCGACUCAGUUGAUCCGUGCCUGAGCCAUAAUAUGUAAUAGAUGUUUACGAAUGGGAUAAUCCGUUAACUUAAAGCGCACGCAAACAGGCAGGUGUUAAAAUUUUUAACAAAUUACACACAAUUGUUUGAUUUUUAGCAUUAUGGACUCGGUUGUUCAGAACCUGGGCCUCGAUUUUGUUUGUCUAUUGGUUUCACUUACGCUACAAUGGCAGGAAUUUACAAUAUUGGCCGCUAAACAUCAUUUAUACAGCAAAGGCAGGUGCUAAAUUUUAUAAAUCACAAACGAAAUUUUUGAUUUUUUAGCAUUAUGGAAACAUGAACCGUGCCUCCUGGGCCUUAAUUAUUUGGUACUUUUAACGUUUAGCUAUACAAGUUUGAUGUUAACGCUUAAAAUGUCUUAGUAGCCGAUAAACCCUGGUUUACAAAUUAACAGGCAGGUGUUACAUUUUACAAAUCACAAAACGAAAUUCUUGAUUUUUAGCAUUAUGCGACUCAGUUGAUCCGUACCUGAGCCAUAAUUUUGGUUGUUAUUUGAUGCGACAUUGAAUAAUCACAAGUACCACAUUGGAUGCAAAACUCGAUUCACGAAUUAACAGGCAGGUGUAAUGAUUUAUAAAUCAUAAAACGAAAUUUUUGAUUUUUAGCAUUAUGGAAACAUUGAACCGUGCCUACUGGGCCUUAAUUAUAUACUUCAUUCUUUGGGCCUUCUAAAUGUUUAGGACCACCGACUUAAUAGCCGAUAUAACCCUGGUUUACAAGUUAACAGGCAGGUGUUACAUUUUACAAAUCACAAAACGAAAUUCUUGAUUUUUAGCAUUAUGCGACUCAGUUGAUCCGUGCCUGAGCCAUAAUUUUGGUUGUUUUAUAUGGAUGUGCGACACUUUUAAAUAGUACCACAAUGGACGCCGCAACAUCUGAUACACGAAAUAACAGGCAGGUGUUACAUUUUAUAAAUCACAAAACGAUAUUCUUGAUUUUUAGCAUUAUGCGACUCAGUUGAUCCGUACCUGAGCCAUAAUAUUGUUAGUUGUGUUUAUGCAUCGCUAAAAGCCUUGGAAGGUUUUCUUUAAGCAACGGUUUUUAACCUAUGGAACCCCACCUAAUUACUUUCUACUCCAACAAGCGUAAGAAACAAUGAAAUUGUUUUUUUCAACUAAUAUAAUUUUUACAGACGAACUCCACAAUUGUGUAACUACGGCGGCGCAACCGCUUAAAAAGUUCUUUCGAAACACUCUUCAAUAUACCCCCAGACUCCUUUAGUGAUUUGUCCUGUUUUAGCAACAACAUUUGUUUCUUCACAAAAUCCAGGCGUUUUAUACAAGAAGUUCUUUGACACAUCUUGUAUCUUCAAACUUUAAAGUGUAAGAAAACAAUGAAAUUGUUUUUACAACUAAUACAAUUCUUACAGCAACAGUUAAGGGUUACUAAGAUAAACAACCAUCCUCCCUAGAAAUAUGAUGAUGACUUGAAACUUUUUAAACUACACAGUCAAAGCAAUGAAGGCGUGUUUUCCUCUUUAACAAAACUUAUUCUAAUAUAUUUUAGCUUUAUAACUCAGUUGAGGCGGUAGCUGAGUUUAUAAUUUAAACACCAAGUGGUAGUAAUCUUUAUAGAUUUUAACCCAAAGGAUUUGACACACAGACACACACACACAGGUGCUUACUGCUUUUAAACCUGAACUCAAUGCCAAAUUUUUAACAUCGUUUUAGCUCUAUGCAUAGAAGAAAUGCUUAUUUAUUUGCUGUAAACAAAUGUAAGGAAUUUGUAUAUCAACAAUUUUGUCUCAAUUUAAAUGUUAUUUGAACAGCGGCAACAGCUAAACUAAAUGCUAAACUUAACGACCCCCGCUGGUCGCCUUAAUAAUUUAUGAUUAUUUUGUGAAUUUUUAGACAAAUAUAUAGAAGAGAAAUAUAACUCUAAAACCCACCCCUUUAAUCACUUCUGGCAACUAUUUGGAUAACUGAAAAUACAAUAAUAUUUGGCGUAAGAAAACAUGCUUUUGUUUUUCUAAUUACAUAAUUGUAUUUUCCAGGCUCUAUAAAAAUCAUUUGAAAUCUUAAAUCGAAAUAGAAUUACUCAAGCUGAACUUGUAACAAUAAAAUAACUGAUGUGUUUGACAGUUUGUUCUCUCAAGAACGUAAGAUUAAAGUUUGAAAUUUUCUUUUAAACUAAUACGCUUUUUGCAGAAAUAUGUUUUGCUGGUUUUGCUUUAAAGAUGAAGGAAAUUUUGCUGAUUUUUUGUCUCCUUAUCCUUUAACAAAUGCUGUAUUGAAACAAGAAAAGAAACAACACCCUACGCUAUCUUAUUUGUUUGUUCGUUAUUUUGUUUACUUUCUACUUUAUUUCUUGUGUCUUUUUGCCAGUUUUAUUUUGUAUAUGAAUUUCUAGCUCAGAAACUACUACAAAAGCUUCAAAUGGAGAGAUAAAGAACAAAAGUCUUUUAAGACAGAAUAGAAAAUAUAAAGUAAUUUCAGCGCUAGCUGGCAGGCUGACUGGCUAAUUAUUAACUAAGAAUGAAAUUCAUCACAUAUACACACUAUAUAUAAAUAAAAAAUAUUAAAAAACCAGUACGCUAAGGGAAUCGCUUUUAUGAUAUUUUAACAAUAUCGUAACCCGUGGUGAUGAAUUUAUUAAAAAAAACAGAAACGAGCAUAAAAGAUGUUAAAAAAAAAACAAAAGCUAGAAGAAAAAAAAAACGCAGCGUAAGUUUUUCUUAAGGCCAGAGUUUAAGCAUCAAAAGUAAGACUACUACUAUUACUCUUAUAUUAAUCUAAACUUAAUAUUUGUAUUGCCAACCUCUUGAAUUACUAUAAUUUUUACAGAUCAAGAGAGAGUCCCCAAAUGUUUUUAUAAAAAUUUCAUAAAAACAUACUUUAUAUCACGCUAACAAGCUGAUAUAAAGAGACUUGGCGUAAUCAAUCACAAGCACUCUAAAAAUAUAGCUAAGGGAAUCGCUAAUAUUUUACUGUGACAAUAAACUACUCUGCAGCAGCAAGUAUACUAAUUAAUAUGUGUGUCUGAUAAGUAAUUAAUAUGCUGAAAGUUUUAAAAAAGCAAAUCCCAUACUGGCUGUGGGUUUUAAAGUUUGUUAACAUAUUUAUUGUUGUACAAUUAAAUUAAAUUAAUUUAACUUUACAGAACAAGAAAUUUGAAAAAAACAAAACAGAAAAAAACCUAGCACUAUAACUACUAGCAACAACCAACACCACCACCACCACCAACAACAACCCCACCCCAUUCUCAAAAAAGAAGCUUAAUAAUGCUAAGGGAAUCGCAAAUGUUAUUAAAUGAUUAUAAUCAUGAUGAAGAUGAUGUUGUGUUGAAAACUGGUGGCUCUAAUUGUAUGUUAACACUUACUACUAUUCCAAACUCUUAAUUAACAACAAAUCAAACUAGAACAAACAAAUCUUAAAGACAAGCGUAAGUGUGUUUUAGUAGUAAACUGCUUAAAUUAAAUUUAAGUUUAUUUAUAAUAUACAAGCUAAUGAAAUAAUUGCUAAGGGAAUCGCAACAAAUUAUUUAAUCAUAAGCAUUUAAAGUCAAAGUGUCUGAUACGUAACGGUCAAUACUUUGGUGCAAACAAAUUGAACUUGAACAAAACACUUUAGCUAAGAAAUAAGCAAAGUAAAAGUAUUAUAAUAUAAAAUAAAACUUGGAUUACAAGUUCAAAACACUAGCUCUCCAUCCAUGACAUGGUAAUGAGUAGCCCAACAAAAAUGCAAAAUUUGUAACAUCUCACACUAAAGCUGCUUAAUACCAGGCAUUAGUUUUUGAAACAGAAUACUUAAUUUAAAAGUAAAGUGAAGCUAAAAUGUAUAUAAAUUAUUAUAUAAACAAAUUGUUUUUGUAAUUGUAAAGCUUUUUCUGUAGAACAAUUUAUAAACUUGGACAAAACUCUUAAGAUUUAGAAUUAAAUCAAAGCAUUAACAAAAAAACCCUCAAAGUUCUAGUGACUCUUAAAGAAAGAUCAUAUUUGCAUGUCCAAUAAAUGAUCGAUCGUAUUUCGAAAUGUAAAUCCUUUAAACAAAAUAAAGGUUAUUCGAUGAUAAAAAGAGCACAACUUUUGAAACUCUGAUCAUUACACACACACAAAUGAAUGAUUGUUAUAAAAUGCUUGUUUUAAAGUUUAAAUUAUUGUUAAAAGUUUUGUCUUAAAACUAUAAGUAGUUUAUAUAUAAAUGCAUGCUAUUUAUUAUUAAAGUAUUAAGUAUAUAUAAGUCUACAAAAGUUAUAACAAACAACAAAACAAAUUUGAAAAUAAAAACACAAAUACCAGCUCACUUGAAGAAUAUUAUAAGAAAAAAAAGAAGAAAAUAAUGUCGUAGCUUUAGAUGGAUAAAGAUGUACAAAUUUUAGCUUACAAACAUGCGACUCGGAAAAGAGUCUGCCUAAACAAAAAUGCCUAAUGGAGAGGUUCACUAUAUUUUUGAGAAAAGAAUUAAGUGAGCAAAACUUUCCACAUGGUCAAUAAACAAAGCGGCUACGAGCCAGCAAAAUCAAAUGCCUAAUGGAGGAGUUACACUAUAUUUUUGUAAAAAGAAUUAAGUGAGCAAAACUUUCCAGAUGGUCUAACAAAAGCAGCACAGAAUGUGCUUAAUACAAAAACAAAACAAAAAGAUUUUUUAAGUUCCUUUUUUAGACACAAGAGUUAUAAAACCAUAAUGAAACCUUAAGCCAGAAAUGAAAGAAGAGCGAGUGAGAGAGAUCUUAACUAGAAGAGCACGUUCCUAGUACCUGGCACUAUAAACACCAGUCAGCUUUAACUAUUCCAACGUUUUUUUUUCUUUUUGUGUGUUUUCUUUCUUGUUUUCUUGCUUCUUAACAACUUUUUUGUAGGAUCAUGUCUCAGUUGAUCGGUGCCUGGACAUGAUUUUGUGAUAAAUGACGAAAAGCGCUUUAAACAUUUACAGAGACAAAGAGAGAGAGAGAGACACAACUUUAAUUUUGGGGGUGACAACUAUUGUCAGAACUUUUCUUUUCUUCUUUCUUUCUUUUUUUGUUUGUUUUUUGUUCUACGUUUUCUUUCUUUUUUUUAUAUAUAUACAACUUUUUUUAGCUUUAUGUCACAGUUGAUCGGUGCCUGUGCAUAAUAAAAGUUCACAAAUGAUGUAAAAGCGAGUGAGAGAGUGAGAGACAAUAUAUAUGACUUGGGUGUUAGUUGAGAGCGGCGUUCUUUGCUAAAAGAGCGCCAUACUGGACUUGGACUUUUUUUUUUUGUGUUUCUGUUUUCUUCUCGAUUUUCUUUCUUUUUCUUCAUUAUUCAACUAUGUUUUUAGCAUUAUGCAACAGUUGAUCGGUGCCUGUGCAUAAUUAUGUGUUGAGAGUGAAAGACAAUAUAUAAAAUGGGUUAAUUUGGGCCAAGCUACGAGCGUACUUUGUAACAUAGAGAGAGGGGACUAUGCCUGAAGACGACUUGUUUUCCUUUUUCUUCUCGAUUUUCUUUUUCUUUUUUUAUUAUUAUUAUUAAAAUUUGUUUUAGCAUUAUGAUACAGUUGAUCGGUGCCUGUACAUAAUAUGCAUUUCUUGAACUCUCCUCUAAAAGAGUGGUAUUGUGUUGUGCUGAGAAAGAGACUGAAGAUAGACGAACAAGAAGAAGAAAAAGAGUGGCUUAACCAGAAGACACACAGACUCUGUUGGUUUCUGUUUUUGUUCUCUUUUUUGUGUUUUUUUAUUUUUCUAUUUCUUUAAAGACCCACAGAAUAGUUAUUUUUCUUAGCCUGCAUACACAGUUGAACGGUGCCUGUGUAUGAACUUAAAAAAAGAAGAGAGAGGGACAAUCUCAUAAACAGAUUGCCUGAAAUACCCAAGAUCUUAACUGACAAACACAACUAAUGAUUGUGCAGAAGAUUUCUACCCUACUAAAACCUUAGCUAGAGAGCAGCGACUACAGCCAUUGUCGUUUUAAAUAAUAGCCUUUCUACAACAACAACUACAACGUUGCUUAAAAUAAUUAAAAGAUAAACAACAGGUUAUAUAUUUACAUUUCAAUUCCUCUUCGCUAAUUACUACCAUUUACAGGCAUUUCUUUUUAUCCUACAAAGCACAAAAUAUAUUGAAUUUUUUCAUUUUCCUAAUCACUACUUCAACACCCAACCACCCACCACCACGUACACUAAGUAUCGGUAUGCAACCAUCUAUCUACAAAUAUCGUUAAAGGGAAUCUAUACGAUACAACAACUCAGCAGGGCUUCAUAAAAAUUAAAAAAAUAUAUAUAUCAAACGCAAAACCAUUAAAUGUUUCUAAAAGGGAAUCCAGAAACACGGCGCCCACUCUAUUUUCUUUCUCUAAAACUUUUUUUCAAACCAGCUAUUUUUCUCUUAAUUAUAUGUUUUAUAAUAAUUUCUAACAAAACAAAAGAAAAGUUAAGAAAUUUUUUUUUUUAAUUUUUACAAUUUAGCAAAAGAAAAAAUAAGAAUGUUAAGAUUUUAUAUAUUAUAUUAUAAUUUUAACUAGAAAAACUUGUAAAAAACUGAAAAAAGAAAAAAACCAAAUCAAAUCAAAUCCCCUCAAAUGUUUUGUAUCAAAAAAUUUAAACAAAUUAUAAACAAAUUUGUGCAAAAUUUCCUACAGUUUAUAAUAUGCCUAUAGUUUUUAAAUGAAACGUAUUAACUUUGUUAUACUUUUACCUUAAAAAAAAUUUCAAUAAUUUUGUCAUUAGUAUGCUUUUUUUGUUAUAAAAUACUCUUACCAACUUCAAACAAAACAAAAUCUUACAAUAAUCCUAUAAUAUUUUUGACAAUUGUCUUACUAGAUUUAUAGCUAGUUUAAAGAAAACUUUGUUAAAUUAAUUUUAUUUAAUUAAUGAUAUGUAAAAGUAUUUUCAUUUUCUUGUUUAAAAUUUCUUUGUAAAAUAAUUUUUUUUUUGUAAUUUUUUAAAAACUAUUUGUUGUAAUUUUUAAAAUUUUUUUUUAUUAAAUUACCUUAAAUUUUGUAAAACAACUGCUGUGGGGAGUAAAACUCAACCGAUCCUAUAUAAAAAAAACAUAUACAAACAUUUGAGUGAUUGAGAAGCGGAUAUCUGAACACACGAAAGAGCCAAGAGGGAGAGCCAACUGCCUUUUAGUUAAAUACACACACAGGGUUUUGCGAUUAAGAGCCAAGAAGAAGGGAAUAUAUAAGCCAGGAGUUUAGUGUUUUCCGUUUUAAGCUAUUGAGAGCGAGGAGAGUAAAAGAGGGAGAAGAGAGAGAGAGUUUACUUUUUUUAUUAAAACAUUUUCAAACUUCGUAUAUGAGAGUUCUAGAGGAGACAGCAAUUAAUCCAAAUACAAAAAAGAAGCUGUUAACCAAGCGGCAGCCUAAAUUAGUAACUGAAAUCCUUUGAUACCAAACACCAAGUGGUUUCUCUGUCAUCAACAUCCGGUGUCACUUUUAGUGGCCUAAACAGCAAAUGCAUCUCAGGCAAACUUUUAAUAUUGAAAAUGUUUUACAUUUUCCUACAAAAGCAAUACAACUUCGUUGAAGAUCUAACAAUCUUUCAACAAACUCAAUUUCCACAACAAGUGCAAAUCUCAAUCAACAUCAAACAUUAAACAACAGUUCUUCUUCAAACAACCAACUGAAGAAGAAUGAAUAUCAGCUAAUGAUGCCUCCAAAAUAAAAACAAAGUCUUUCAAAACUGCAGCAAACAUUCUCAAGACUUUGGGUCUUCUACUACCACAUAACUGCAAAAUAGACUUUGGUCUUGUGAAAUCUAAAAUGCGUUUGGUCACAUACAACUUCAAAUCCCUUAAAAAUCUAUAAGAAAAGGCGCGCGGAACAACCUUUAAAUCCUUAACGACACAAAUUCCUUAACAUCUGAGUUGUUGUACGGAAAUCUUCACUUUAGAGAGAGAGAGAGAGCGAACGUUAUAUACAUAUAACAUAGAGGGCUGUUAACACACUUCAAGUCUUUAACAAUCUGUUUUUUUGCCAAACAAAUUUAAUCAUCAAUCAUCACCAACACCAUAAUUAUAACAACUUUUGCUAAAGAAACCAAAAAAUCAAAAACUUCUAUAUCUAAACCAAACUUUUAACAAACGCUGAGUUCUUGUAAACACCUUGAGUCAAAACAUCAUUAUAUCAUCAACAUCGUUCGGUCCCAAAAGAGAACAUUUGAACUAAUGAAGAGGAAAGCUUGCUUUAUAUGAUCUAUUACAAAGCGAUUGUCAUCUUGAUUACUAAAUGAAUAUUGUUGUGGGACGACUUAUGGACUCUAGAUUUACUACUAAAAUAUCGAAACACCUUGAUCUUUCAAAUAUCAAAAAACCUAAGGCUCAAAAUAUCCCCAGAAAGAGAGACUUUAACUUCCAAUGACAUUUCAACUUCAAAGAAAACCAAAAAACACACAAAUCCACAACAUCGUCCAACGUAAGAGGGACGACUUCGCUUUGAAAUUAGAGAUACUGUUAUAAAAGAAAACAAACUAUCAAACACCUUCAUCUUGAUUGCUUUUACGUUCAAUCCUUGAGCUCUGUAUUAUAUAUCGAAUCACAAACCAUGAGUUUUUGUGGCAAGACGUCCACCACUCACUUUAGAUGCUAUAUAGGACCACUAUAAUCCUUUCCUCUUCUAUACGAAUGCUACAACUACUAUCACUACUAGAUCCAUCACCUUUUGCUUGUAAAUCUUUAUAAUCCUGUGGGACCAUGAAGUUAUAAUUCUCCACUACAAAUGUUUUGUUGCUCGGCUUUCGAAUGUCGUGUGUCCAUCAGCCCUCCUAUAGUUUUGAAUAGCAACUGUUGAAAAUUCUACUGGGAAGAAUAUCUAUUCGUCUGCAGCGUUUACAACAAAUUUAUAACCACCUACAACAAACAACCAACCAAUCAAACAACCUCAACAUCAGCAGCGGUAACAUCCUUUAAAUAUUUCCAAGUAUUGACGGCAGCGUGGGACUUCCAAGUAUUGACGGCGGCGAGGGACUUCCAAGUCUUGACGGCAGCGAGGGACUUCCAAGUCUUGACGGCAGCGUGGGACUUCCAAGCUUUGACGGCGGCGAGGGUCUUCUAGGAACUGGCGGACAGCGGGGAUCAUCCAAGUUUUGACGGCAGCGAGGGUCUUCUAGGUGCUGACGGCGGCGUGGGACUUCCAUCACUGAAGGCAGCAGCGAGGGACAUCAACUUGUUGAGGUGGCGAGGGUUUUUCCAGGUGCUGACAGCGGCGAGGGACUUCUUCGAAGUGUUGACGGCGGCGAGGGACAUCUUAGGGUCAUCGGGGCAUGGCGCAGCGGUAUCCAGGGUCGGCGUAGCGGUUCAAUUCCUAGGGUCUUCGUUGUUUGGCAGGUUUCCGGUUAAGCUUUGUAGGGGUUUUUUCAAGUUUAGACUGCGGCGUGGGACUCCAAGUAUUGACUGCGGCGAGGGAUACCAAGUUUAGACUGCGGCGA